rnacentral:tRNA from 1 species
GGUCGAUUAGCUCAGCUGGUUAGAGCGUGGUGCUAAUAGUCAUAAUCUGUUAACGCCAAGGUCGUGGGUUCGAUCCCCACAUUGACCU